GAAAAUUGUAUGACCGAUCAAGCGUACCAACUUAAAAACAAUGAUAGUUUGUGUAAUGUCACCGAUAGAACACCUUUUGGCGAAGAUAUAUGUUAUCUGUGGUUAAAUUAUUUUCUCUAAUCUAUGUCAUGCUUACCGCUAAUCCGCUUGUUCGCGAAAAAAUGGCAGAUCCGUUUUUGUUUUCUUUAGCUCAUUAUUAAUUACAUGAUCUACAACUAGAAUUAUUUAAAUAUUCGCUUUAUUUUAAUCUGCUUAAACAAUACGACAGGCAAUUCUGCGCCGACGCCGGUCAUGAACCGUCCAUAUUCGCCAUUUUGUCAUUUAGCAAACUAAGAAAAUGCAAACAAAACAUUAUUUGCCCUAAACACGCGUUACUCUCAAAUAAUAUUGCCGAAUGCCGACAAAGUGAUCUUGUUUUAUCAAACUGAACUCCGAACUGCAAUUGCAAUGUAAUUUUCCGAUAGCGAAAGUGAGGUUAUGAAAUUGACAUGACAUUUAGUGAAUGCAAUGCAAUGGACAUGUGUUUUGUUGUGUUUCUCAUCAAGAUAAUAGAAGAAUCUAGUGCUCAUACUCAUGAAUUAAUGAGCAAACAGCCCAUGCAAAGGAUGUCUUAACGGGCCAUGUCUCCACUGAUAAAAUUAUUAAGUUACCUACUUCAACGCAGCUUUUCAAGAAAGGUAAGUCCUUGUUUUAUUAUUUGAUGUGUUUUCAAACAAGUCGUUGUUUUCGAAACCCAGCAGAACAUACUUGCGAACUACAAUAAAUAGACCAAAUAUAUAUGGUGAAAUGUUGCUUAUUUCGUUGUUUUAUCGUCAGAUAAAUUAAUGAUUAGUAAAUUUCCCACAUUACUUUCUGACUUUCACAUUCCCUAAGAGGAUCUAAAUGUAUGUGAAAUAGGCCUAACUAACAAAAUAUAUUUGUUACUUUCAAUGAGGUUUACAUGGUUGUUCGAUUUUUCAGUUUCAACAUCUAAUUGGAAUUUCUCUGGAAAGUUUACAAUGUCCGAUAUUUCUACACAUCUGCCACAAAUUUAUGGAAAACAAUAUUUAUAGAAACUGAACAUACUUUGGUUAAACGUAUAUGAAAUGGGUAACCAUCCUCGAAGAAUAUCAACCAGCUGUCGGCAAUGUGCAGGUGGACUGAGGAAUUUUCCAGUGUAUCCUUUAUGGACUGUACUCCGUUUUAGCACUAUCCUCAAGUUUUACCCGAGAGGCCAUGCUUCAGGUUGGACCGUCUUCCAUAUAUCUACUGACUUCAUAUAAAUGAAAGUGUACUAAAGGCUCACUGAUCUACACUACCAGCUCAUGCUCAACGUUACUGAACAACAAAGUAAUCCGACAAUCAGACUGGACCCGGUCAUGUUAGGUAAGUUUACAUACUUAAUGCG